UAACACAUGCAAGUCGAACGGUAACAGGAAACAGCUUGCUGUUUCGCUGACGAGUGGCGGACGGGUGAGUAAUGUCUGGGAAACUGCCCGAUGGAGGGGGAUAACUACUGGAAACGGUAGCUAAUACCGCAUAACGUCGCAAGACCAAAGAGGGGGACCUUCGGGCCUCUUGCCAUCGGAUGUGCCCAGAUGGGAUUAGCUAGUAGGUGGGGUAACGGCUCACCUAGGCGACGAUCCCUAGCUGGUCUGAGAGGAUGACCAGCCACACUGGAACUGAGACACGGUCCAGACUCCUACGGGAGGCAGCAGUGGGGAAUAUUGCACAAUGGGCGCAAGCCUGAUGCAGCCAUGCCGCGUGUAUGAAGAAGGCCUUCGGGUUGUAAAGUACUUUCAGCGGGGAGGAAGGGAGUAAAGUUAAUACCUUUGCUCAUUGACGUUACCCGCAGAAGAAGCACCGGCUAACUCCGUGCCAGCAGCCGCGGUAAUACGGAGGGUGCAAGCGUUAAUCGGAAUUACUGGGCGUAAAGCGCACGCAGGCGGUUUGUUAAGUCAGAUGUGAAAUCCCCGGGCUCAACCUGGGAACUGCAUCUGAUACUGGCAAGCUUGAGUCUCGUAGAGGGGGGUAGAAUUCCAGGUGUAGCGGUGAAAUGCGUAGAGAUCUGGAGGAAUACCGGUGGCGAAGGCGGCCCCCUGGACGAAGACUGACGCUCAGGUGCGAAAGCGUGGGGAGCAAACAGGAUUAGAUACCCUGGUAGUCCACGCCGUAAACGAUGUCGACUUGGAGGUUGUGCCCUUGAGGCGUGGCUUCCGGAGCUAACGCGUUAAGUCGACCGCCUGGGGAGUACGGCCGCAAGGUUAAAACUCAAAUGAAUUGACGGGGGCCCGCACAAGCGGUGGAGCAUGUGGUUUAAUUCGAUGCAACGCGAAGAACCUUACCUGGUCUUGACAUCCACGGAAGUUUUCAGAGAUGAGAAUGUGCCUUCGGGAACCGUGAGACAGGUGCUGCAUGGCUGUCGUCAGCUCGUGUUGUGAAAUGUUGGGUUAAGUCCCGCAACGAGCGCAACCCUUAUCCUUUGUUGCCAGCGGUCCGGCCGGGAACUCAAAGGAGACUGCCAGUGAUGAACUGGAGGAAGGUGGGGAAGACGUCAAGUCAUCAUGGCCCUUACGACCAGGGCUACACACGUGCUACAAUGGCGCAUACAAAGAGAAGCGACCUCGCGAGAGCAAGCGGACCUCAUAAAGUGCGUCGUAGUCCGGAUUGGAGUCUGCAACUCGACUCCAUGAAGUCGGAAUCGCUAGUAAUCGUGGAUCAGAAUGCCACGGUGAAUACGUUCCCGGGCCUUGUACACACCGCCCGUCACACCAUGGGAGUGGGUUGCAAAAGAAGUAGGUAGCUUAACCUUCGGGAGGGCGCUUACCACUUUGUGAUUCAUGACUGGGGUGAAGUAGU
rnacentral:rRNA from 1 species